GCUGCAGUUUUCCGCGUUAGGCGUCGUAACGCCGCGCCUGUCCACGCGGUAUCGCUUACUGUUAUAGUAUAGUUUCAUUCUUCCCAGUGCGUAUUCUCUAUUACGUGACAAAAGGAACCUGGUUGACCGGAAGAAACCCCUCAAAAAUAAAGUUAUAUUGUAAUCAGUGCGUGUUCCCGACCUAGGCUGCAGCUUCGUACGCCGCCUCGCUUUCCUCGUGCUGAUAGCGCGCGUUAUGAAACGCGAGCCGGUAUCAAACAGCUGAUUUCACGUCCCACGAUAUCGAAUACUCAAUGAAACGCUCCUUGAAGAACAUAAACAAGCUCGGCCUGCUCGCGCUCACACCACAACUAGGCUGCUGCUCGGCGCGGCGGCCCGCUCGUUGCUGAUACAGCAAUUCGGGGCGUGCUUGUAGAGCAGAUACCGGCCAUUCUCCAAAAAGGAUGCCACCAGAAAAAUACCGAGAGGAAUCAUAUAAUUUUAUUUUAGGUAGAAGAUGUAUAACACUUUACUAAUAAAUAAAAGCCUGGAUUUUUCUUAAUGAUUUAUAUCGAAAAUAAGUUUAAGUCAGUGUGUGGUUUUAUGAUCAACAAAUCUUUGUUGAUCAUAAAAUCAAAGUAAUUUAUCAUAACAUGUAAUAUACUUAUCAAACAUACAAAUUAUUUCGAAUAGCUUAACAAAAUGAGGAUGUGGGUGAAAAACAUACACAGGGAUUGUGGUAGGAACGAAUUUGUUUUAAAACAUUAAUAAGGAUUAAUCAUUUAUUUGUGAUAUGUCUUUAUAUAAAAUGGUAUUUCUAUAUCUGUGGCAAUGAUGUAUACUCAUGUAGACCUUGCUGUGCAGGCCCUUUAGUUCAGACCCACCACUACAGAUAAUAUUCCCUGUGUCACCACAAGCCAAGCUUACGCCGAGGCGAACCAUGCCAGCGAGCAACGUGAUUUAAUGAAUCACAAAGUAUUCUGCACGAUGAAGCGACAUUUUUUUGGAAAUGAUACACUGUCAGCUUCUCUAUCGCCACCUCCCAGUUGUUGCCCUACUGCAUACUAAUGCUUUACCUAACUACCUUUAAAACUAGGUGCGCAAGAGUACGACUCUAUUUCAUCAAUUGAUGUAAGAAGUAAAAGUCUUGUACACGUUUUGUACAUUUUUGAGUGCAAUAAAGUUAGAAAUUAAGAGAUUUUAUGUUAGAGAUUAGAUUAAUGUAAGAAGUCAAAAUUGAGACAUUUUGGAAAAUCAGGUUUGAAUAGAAUAGAAUCUUUAUUUGUGAUUGUAAAGUACUUAAAACUACUAAUGAAAUAUGGCAUUAAAUUUCUUACUCUUAAGUAAGUACAUAUUAUUGAUUUAAUUGUCCCUCAUCAAAUUCACCAAAAGCGUUAGGUACACCACAACAUUGCGGAUAUCCAAAGGUGAAAAGAACUACCUAUGUAUUUAGAAUAUCGAGCCUCACAAGACUUGCUGCCUUCAUCGAAAGAUAGUUACCCCACAGCAUCCUUCAAACCGAUGUGUGGUGUAUUGAUCAGGCUUUGAAUUAUAAGAUUGUAAUUGUAUUGGCGUUGAACCAAGGAGGCUUCAGCGAGCCCCGUACGUGACUGUAUGUCAAAUAAUAUGUGGGAGCGUCACGUGAGCUCGCCGCACGUGACGCGCGUGCGCACCUCAGCUGCAUUUUUAUGAAUGGUCUGUAUGUCAAUCAAAUGUAGAGUGUCAAUGAACAGUUCCAUGCUCCCUCGGCUGACACUUUAGGAGGUUUAUUUCAAAAAACAAAACCAGCUUGACUUUUUGUACUUGUUUCACAUUUGAGUCUAUUUAAGACAAGUUUUACUCCUAUGGCUUCGCUCGUAGCGUAUAUUACUAGGUACUGAAGGUUUAUUUUAAAAUUUUAAUGUAAGUAAGUUUAGUAAAACGUAUACCUACCAUUAUUAUUGUGUAAGUGUGUUUGUUUGUCGGUCUUUCACGUCAAAACCUCUUAACCUGAACGAUUUUGAUAUGUAUCGUGUUGAAUUU